rfam:Arabidopsis lyrata subsp. lyrata unplaced genomic scaffold ARALYscaffold_1, whole genome shotgun sequence.
UCAAUGGUCUCUCUCGAGACCAACACAAUCAUUCUAUAGAUGAUUU